AUCUGGUACUUAGAGAAUGCAAAGGCAAACGCGGUAUAUGACGAGGACUAAUAGUAUGGUUAGAGGGAAACGGAGUUUGGAAGGAGAUGAAGACCAGCAGCCGGAGCCAAAACGUCCUGCUCUAGCUAGUGUGAUUGUUGAAGCUCUUAAGGUGGACAGCUUGCAGAAACUUUGUUCAUCUUUGGAACCCAUUCUUCGUAGAGUUGUAAGUGAAGAGGUGGAAAGAGCUUUGGCAAAAUUAGCCCCCCCUAGGCUUAAUGGAAGGUCUUCUCCAAAAUGUCUUGAAGGUCCAGGCGGAGGGAGCUUACAGCUCCGCUUCAGGUCCAGGUUGUCUCUCCCUCUUUACACAGGAGGAAAGGUAGAAGGGGAGCAGGGUGCUGCUAUCCAUAUUGUUCUAGUUGACUCCAACACUGCGCAUGUUGUAACAACCGGACCUGAAGCCUCUAUGAAGCUAGAUGUUGUGGUGCUUGAAGGUGAUUUUAGCAAUGAGGAUGAUGAAGAUUGGACACAGGAGGAAUUUGAUAGCCAUUUGGUAAAAGAGCGUCCAGGAAAAAGACCACUGCUGACGGGUGACUUGCAAGUGACCCUGAAAGAGGGGGUUGGAACACUAGGAGACCUUACUUUUACUGACAAUUCAAGUUGGAUAAGAAGCAGGAAAUUCAGGCUUGGCUUGAAGGUUGCUUCUGGAUACUGUGAGGGUAUACGUGUUCGGGAAGCUAAGACAGAGGCUUUUACUGUCAAGGAUCACAGAGGGGAAUUGUAUAAGAAGCACUACCCACCUGCACUGAAUGAUGAAGUAUGGAGAUUGGAAAAGAUUGGGAAAGAUGGGUCAUUUCACAAGAGGCUUAGUGCUGAAGGAAUAUUCACUGUUGAAGACUUUUUGCGGCUUGUUGUCAGGGAUCAACAAAAGCUACGAAAUAUUCUGGGAAGUGGCAUGUCAAAUAAGAUGUGGGAAGCUCUAUUAGAUCAUGCAAAGACUUGUGUGCUGAGUGGGAAGCUUUAUGUUUACUAUACUGAUGAUUCAAGGAACAGUGGUGUUGUUUUCAAUAAUAUCUAUGAGUUGAAUGGCCUUAUUUCCGGGGAACAGUAUUUUCCUGCUGAUUCUCUAUCUGAUAGUCAGAAGGUUUAUGUAGAUUCACUGGUAAAGAAAGCCUAUGACAAUUGGAAUCAAGUCAUAGAGUAUGAUGGCAAGUCACUGUUGAACUUCAAGCAAAAUAGGUGGUCAAGUGCCCGGAAUGAACUUCAGAUAGAUGAACUAGAUUACACAAGUUCUGUAGAUAAUCAGAUGCAGUUACCACGGGUGCCAGUUCCAAUUCCUACUGAGCAAGUUCACUCUGGCCUACAAGUUGGAGGGUAUAAUGAUAAUCAGUCGGCCGGAUAUUCAGGGCAGUCCCAGAUUAUGAAUCCAAAUUCUCAUAAUCAAUUUGGCAACACACAAUUUGUGCCACAAGACCAGCUAAUUGACAAUUCUCAGCAACCACAAAGCUCAAAAAACGAUACCAAUGUUGUUGGGCUGGCUCUUGGUCCUCCACAAUCAUCUAUCAUAGGGUUCCAAAAUAUUGGUUCUUCAAUGCAGCCAUCAAAUCUUAAUCCUUUCAACGAUUGGACAAACAACCACGAUAAGGGAGUUGAGGACUUUUUAUCAGAGGAAGAGAUUCGCGUAAGAAGUAAUGAAAUGCUCGAGAAUGAAGAAAUGCAGCACCUUCUCCGGCUUUUCAAUAUGGGAGGUAAUGCUUCCAUUAAUAUGACAGAAGACAGUGGGUACGGGUUCCCAAAUUACAUACCAUCCCCAAUGCCAAACUUUGUAGACGAAGACCGUUCACGUUCUGGCAAAGCUGUUGUAGGGUGGUUGAAGAUUAAGGCCGCAAUGAGAUGGGGAUUCUUUAUCCGAAAGAAAGCUGCUGAGAGACGGGCACAGAUAGUUGAGCUAGAAGAAGAAGAAGAAGAAUAGAUAUGAAGUCUAUUUUUCAUUUUUAAGUGGAAAGGCUCUCAUUUCCGACUGGUUUUGGAAGUUACUAGAACUCCUUGAAUGCUAGAGAAAAACUAGCGACACCAUGGGGAAUCUCUUCUUGUACAGUUUCCUGUACAUCGUUUCAGGUAUUUGUUGUACAAAAAGGCUGUAAGCUAUGUGGCCAUGGAGAUAUUUUCCACAAUCCAAAGAAAAAUCCACCCCACCUCAUCAUUCGGAGCAGGUUAGUAUCCAUCGAGCAGUUCAGGUUUUGCCAUAUUUAGAAAGGCAUAUAUUUAAUCUAUUGCUUUCCCUAGUGGGGUGGAAUCUUGGAUCCAGUUGCUCCAUUCCUUUCCAUGGCACUUGCAGUGUCAAGUGGUUUCAAAUCAGUUUGGAAUCCAUCGGGUUAGUUCGGGUUUUACCAUCUUUAGAAAAGCAUGCAUUAGGCCAUUGCUUCACCCAAUGGAUGGAAUCUUGGAUCCAGUUGCUUCAUUCCUUUCUAUGGCACUUGCAGUGUCAAGUGGUUUCGAAGCUUAUUUUAGCUCAUAUGGCUCAAUAUUUAAAAGAAUUUGAAUAAAAAUAUUAAGCUUAAAAAAAAAAAAACUUUAAUAAUUGAUACACAAAAUCAAAUGGUCCCAUUCCAAGUUCAUAUUCCUGUACAAUUAUCAUGCAACUGAUGUAUGCUUUAAUCUUAGUGACUGACAGACAUAAAACAAAAGCAUUUUUACGUAAAUCCAAUCAUUUGAUUCAACUUUCUUCCGAGUCUAACCAGAAAUAAAAAUUGAUGUAACACUUUUUUUUUUAAUAAUUUUAUUAUAUAUUUUUGAUUAUAUCUGUAUUUCUGCGCAAUCAAACGAGCUACACUUUUAAAUCAUGUUAUAAUAUUGUAUUUUCAUCAAAUAAGGAGCAACUACUAUAAGUUAAGAUUUGUCACUUA